rnacentral:lncRNA from 1 species
GGUUGUCUUCAAUUGUUCACAUUGUAUUUCUUUCUUAUUGCUGCUGUAACAAAUUACUACAAAUGCAGCAUCUUAAAACAGCAUAAAUGUAUUCUUUUACAGUUCCGGAAGUCAGAAGUCUGAAUUCAGUUUUACUGGCUUGAGGUCAGGCUGUCGGCAGGGCUGGGUCCUUCUAGGGCUCUCGGGAAAAUCUGUUUCCUUGCCCUUUUCACCGUCUAGUGGUUCCCUGCAGCCCUUGGCUUGUGGCCCUUUCAUCCAUCUUCCGAGCCUAGCACUCCAGUCUCUGCUUCUGUCAUCACAUCGCCUUCUCUUGAGAAAGAUCCCAGGAGCCUGUGACAUUCAGGGAUGUGGCCGUGUUCUUCAGCCAGGACGAGUGGUUGCACCUGGACUCUGCCCAGAGAGCCUUGUACCGGGAGGUGAUGCUGGAGAACUACGGCAGCCUGGUCUCACUGGGUAAGAAUUUUUGCCUAUGACGAAGAAUCUGUUAUAGGAACGCCUCACAGGUCCAUCUUUGGGGUUCCGAGCCUGUGGUCUUGUACCCUACUGAGCCCCUCAGAAAGGCUGAAUUGCUGUAGAGUGGAAAGUGUACAUCUUUGUUGUGAUGCCCUUCUUGCUAUCUGUUUCUCUACCCUCCACUCUCCCUCACAUCCUACUGCCA